GCAGAUCCUGGAUUUCACCUAUAGGCUUGGACCUAAGAGAUACUUGGGCUGUCUGCCUGAUGUGGCAACUCAGCAGGAAGGCAUUAGAAGUUUCAGUACUUUCAUCUUGUCUCAGAACAUCUUAAGGAAGCCGCACAUAACUGAAGCUGAGCAUGGAAACUGACUCAUCUCUCUCACUCUUCGAGAUUAACUUCUCU